rnacentral:rRNA from 1 species
UACGAAGGGGGCUAGCGUUGUUCGGAUUUACUGGGCGUAAAGCGCACGUAGGCGGAUUGUUAAGUCAGGGGUGAAAUCCUGGAGCUCAACUCCAGAACUGCCUUUGAUACUGGCAAUCUUGAGUCCGGAAGAGGUGAGUGGAACUCCGUAGUGGUAGAGGUGGAAUUCGUAGAUAUUAGGAAGAACACCUGUGGCUAAGGCGGUUCUCUGGG